rnacentral:rRNA from 1 species
AGUUAUACAGAGGAUAAAUAAAUUUAAUUUAAGUUUCUAGGAAGAAACAUCCAUUAAUUAAGUAAAGGAGAUUAAAAAUUAGUUUCUUUUAAUCCUGAUUAAGUACUGCAAGGGAAUAAAAUUAACUGUUUACUAGUAGUUAUAAAUAACGUACCUUUUGUAUCAUGGCUUAGCUAGAUUUUUAUCUUAGGAUAUAAGUGUCUCGAAUUCUAAUGAGCGAUUUUUGGUUCCUAUUUUAGUAGGUAUAAGAAUAACUGUGGCAAAAUUUUUCUUAAAACCAAAAAUAGAAAUGAUAUUUUAUUCGCAUUAGAAGAUAGCUAGUUUUUCCAUAAAGGCACAGAAGUGCUGGUUAUGCGUGCUCAGUUUUAAAAUUUUUUAAUACUGGUUAAGUAUAUCUGAAGCUUUUGAGGAUAAGCUCAAGAGUAAACAUAAUUAUAUAAUUCAUUCUUUUUUUAAACUUAGGCUUGAAAUUAGCUAAAAUAUAAAACUUGUUAUAAAGUAUACCGAAUAAAAAGAAAAGAUUGAUAUUAUAAGAAUUAAAUGGAAAAGAACUCAUAAAUUAUAAAGAGUUUUUUUAAUGCUAAGAUGAGUAUCUUAAAGAAUAUUAUAUUUUAGUUCAUUUAAAACUAAAAUUUAAUACAAUAUUUUAAAUUGAAAUUUUGUAAAGGAACUCGGCAAAAUUAGUUGCUCUGCCUGUUUAUCAAAAACAUGGCUCUUUGUUUUUUUACUAUGAGGAGUCGGACCUGCCCGGUGAAAAUAUUUUAACGGCCGCGGUACUCUGACCGUGCAAAGGUAGCAUAAUCAUUUGCCCUAUAAUUAAGGGCUAGUAUGAAUGGUUUGACAAGAGCAGCACUGUCUCUACAAAAAUUUCUAGAACUUAAUGUUCAAGUGAAGAAUCUUGAAUUAAAUUAAUAGACAAGAAGACCCUAUCGAGCUUAAAAAAACUAAGUGGAAUUUAUUAGAAACUAUGUUUAGUAUUCUUUUCCACUUAAAAUUUUGGUUGGGGCGACUAAGGAACAACUAAAGCUUCCUAAAUAUUCUUAACUUAUAGGUUUUGAUCCGAUUGUUUCGAUUAAAAGAAUUAGUUACCGUAGGGAUAACAGCAUAAUCCUUUUUGAGAGCCCAUAUCGAAAAAAGGGUUUGUGACCUCGAUGUUGGACUAGAAUAUCCAGAAGAUGCAGAAGUCUUCAAGGGUUGGUCUGUUCGACCAUUAAAAUUCUACAUGAUCUGAGUUCAGACCGGCGUGAGCCAGGUCAGUUUCUAUCUUUAAUUAUUGUUAUCUAAGCUCAGUACGAAAGGACCUGCUUAGAGCAAUGUUUGCAUACACUUGAUAGAGUAUAAUUUGUUUAUAAAUAAAUGUUCAAAUAAUAGUUAUAGACUUAAUUAAUAAAAUAA